rnacentral:rRNA from 1 species
UACGCAGGGGGCUAGCGUUGUUCGGAAUUACUGGGCGUAAAGCGCGCGCAGGCGGUCCUUCAAGUCAGAGGUGAAAGCCCAGAGCUCAACUCUGGAACGGCCUUUGAGACUAGAGGACUAGGGUACGGGAGAGGUGAGUGGAAUUCCGAGUGUAGAGGUGAAAUUCGUAGAUAUUCGGAAGAACACCAGUGGCGAAGGCGGCUCACUGGCCCGUUACCGACGCUCAGGCGCGACAGCGUGGGGAGCAAACAGG